rnacentral:rRNA from 1 species
UACAGGGGGUGCAAACGUUGCUCGGAAUCAUUGGGCGUAAAGCGCACGUAGGCGGUCUGUUAUGUCGGAUGUGAAAGCCCUCGGCUCAACUGAGGAAGUGCAUCCGAAACUGGCAGGCUAGAGUACUAAAGAGGGUCGCGGAAUUCCCGGUGUAGAGGUGAAAUUCGUAGAUAUCGGGAGGAACACCGAUGGCGAAGGCAGGUCUCUGGGCCACUACUGACGCUGAGAAGCGAAAGCAUGGGGAGCGAACAGG